rnacentral:sRNA from 1 species
UUUCCCCCUUGCAUUUGAUCCUCAUCUUCCCCAGGCCAUUCAGGGUGGUGGGAAGACUGGCCUGGUACCUGGGUGGGGGUAAGUCAGGGGUGCUGCUAUUCCCCCAGCUACCUGGACCAGCCCUGCCUUGAGACCGUCAACCGCAUCAAGUUGUACAGUGAGUCCCUGGCCCGGUAUGGCAAGAGCCCGUAUUUAUACCCGCUCUACGGCUUGGGCGAGCUGCCCCAGGGUUUUGCAAGAUUGAGUGCCAUCUAUGGGGGGACAUAUAUGCUGAACAAACCUGUGGAUGACAUCAUCAUGGAGAACGGCAAGGUGGUGGGCGUGAAGUCUGAGGGAGAGGUGAGCCCUUCCCGUGCAUGCAGUGCAGUCCCAUGGUUGAGGCGGGGCUUGGUCACUUUCUCUGUGCUGUCGAGUCUCCUGCUGCACAGCCCCAAGGAUCUUGGAGCUGGGAACUGGGGGUCCAGAAGUCUUCAGAAUCGUGACUGUGGGUGAGAGGUCUCUUUCAGAGGCCACAUGCCAUGUCUGUGGUGCAGA